rnacentral:rRNA from 1 species
UACGUAGGGGGCAAGCAGUUGUCCGGAUUCAUUGGGCGUAAAGAGCGUGUAGGCGGCCAGGUAGGUCGGUUGUGAAAACUGGAGGCUCAACCUUCAGAGGUCGACCGAAACCAUCUGGCUAGAGUCCGGGAGAGGAGAGUGGAAUUCCUGGUGUAGCGGUGAAAUGCGCAGAUAUCAGGAAGAACACCCGUGGCGAAAGCGGCUCUCUGGAACGGUACUGACGCUGAGACGCGAAAGCGUGGGGAGCGAACAGG